UCUUCUUUUUGAUUUUGGAUUGAAAUUUAUUUGAUUUUAAAUAAAGGGUUUUAAUUAUUAGUUUGGAUCAUGGGUUUGAAAUCAUGAAUUUUGAUGUUUGCAUCUUAACUCAGUUACUCAUUUAAUGAACCUGAUUUAGGAAAUCAUGAAUUUACUACCCAGUGUUGUUUCUCUACUGUGAGUUAAGAGGAUCCUUAAAUGAAAUGAAUAGUUUCGAUAAAACUGACUUUGAUUUCGAAUUGAGUUUAAUAAUGGCUUGGGUUAGUGCUGCAUUAACAAAUGAAUGAUACUUGUAUGGAAGAAUUAGGGGAAGAAGAUGUUAAAGGCAAUGCAAGGAUUAUUAAGAAAUGCUCCUCUGUUUAUGGCCUCAGGGAUGAUCACAUCAGUGCUACUGUUUGUCAUCCCUAGGAGUAAGGGACAACCAACAAGUUUGAGUAAUUGGAGACCAUUGUGAUAAGCAUCGUAUUUUGGCUGUUUAUUUUGUUCUGAAUAUGUAUCAUUUAUGUGCACAUUUCUUACAUCACCAGUUCAUUCAAUCUUGUCCAAUACUGAUUUGAGCUCAUGUAUUUUAGAAUCUGCUUAUUGAUAACUUGAAUCAUUGUCAUCUGUUCUCAAUUCAGCUUCACUUAUUCUACCCCAAUUGCAUAUGAGUCCAAGUAAAAAUUCAGUUGACAGUGGUGGAUUCAUCACCACUGCCACCAUUAAUACUCAAUCCCAGAAUUCCCAAGUUGCAGCUCUCGUAAUUAUCGUCCUUCUCACAGUAACUAGUGCUGGAUAAUUAUCAAUAAAUAAGCAGCCAAAUAUGAUGCUUAAUCAAUAUCAUUCUUCUCAAGCAAAGAUCUCGUAAUAUCUGCAGGAAUCGCUAAAGGUGGUCAAGCCUACCAUUGUGCCUGUGCCGCUGAUCGGACUGGAUAGGCUUUGUUCCACACUCUGUAUGCUCGGGCACCGAAACACAAUUCUUUGCAGAAUACUUUGUGUUGGAUCAUGAAGAGCACAACAGCUGGAACCACUACUUCAUCCUUUCUAUGAUGAGCUACGGGACCCAAGUGCGUGGUUGACGAAAGGGAGAUUCCUUCCCCCACUUUUAAACUUCAAGCCUCGUGUCCUGACAAGCAUCUGUGCAAACUGCAACCUCUAACAAUCAUCCAAAUGGUUUAUUGAUUGAAUGAUGCAGUUAGUGGGAGUUAAAGCUUACUAGCCUAAUGGUUGAUGCAAUUGAUUUGUCGUCAGUUGAAGCGAUAUCUGAGCUCAUUCAUUCUAAUUUGCCCACUAAUGUGAGUGAUUAUCUCCUUUUUCUGUCUUUUGUAGAGUUUGUCUUUUGUACAAUGUAGUUCUUUACAGCAGUAUUGCACUAAAAACAAGUCGUUGCUUCUUGAGUUUGUAGGUAAGUUGAUUGUGAAUAUACAACUUAGUGUAGUUCAUUUAUUUAUCAGUUGGGAAAAUGUGUCGCAACCAUAGCCAUUGUCGAAUGUGUCAUUAAACCAGUAAAUUGUCUUGCAACUUUAUUUUGAGACACGGAUUAGUUCAGAUAUCACUUUUCAAGAAUCUCUGAAAAAAUUCGAGUGAAUUGUCAUUUAGUCAGGGACUCAGAUAUUCUUUUCUUAUGUCUAUUCCACAAUAUGAUUUUAGCUUGUUGUAAGUUCUAGACAUCGUAAACUCUCUUAAGAAAUUAAUAAUGGAUCUUGAUAAAAAAAAAAAUUUGUACCA